rnacentral:rRNA from 1 species
GUAGGGAAUCUUCCACAAUGGACGAAAGUCUGAUGGAGCAACGCCGCGUGAACGAUGAAGGCUUUCGGGUCGUAAAGUUCUGUUGUAAGGGAAGAACAAGUGCCGCAGGCAAUGGCGGCACCUUGACGGUACCUUGCGAGAAAGCCACGGCUAACUACGUGCCAGCAGCCGCGGUAAUACGUAGGUGGCAAGCGUUGUACGGAAUUAUUGGGCGUAAAGCGCGCGCAGGCGGCCUCUUAAGUCUGAUGUGAAAGCCCCCGGCUCAACCGGGGAGGGCCAUUGGAAACUGGGAGGCUUGAGUAUAGGAGAGAAGAGUGGAAUUCCACGUGUAGCGGUGAAAUGCGUAGAGAUGUGGAGGAACACCAGUGGCGAAGGCGACUCUUUGGCCUAUAACUGACGCUGAGGCGCGAAAGCGUGGGGAGCAAACAGGAUUAGAAACCCGUGUAGUCC